AUGUGGAGCUGCUGGAAACGUGCUUCCUGCACAGGCAUGGCCUGUGAUGACACUUCAUACAUCAGGCUAAAGUUGGAGUUGUUUCAGAAGGAAGUGAUGCCAAAUCAGCAUGGACUUUCACCAAAUGCUUGGGGAGGAAGGCAGUCGUGA
rnacentral:lncRNA from 1 species